UAUCAAUAAGCGGAGGAAAAGAAACCAACAGGGAUUGCCCCAGUAACGGCGAGUGAAGCGGCAACAGCUCAAAUUUGAAAUCCGGCCUCGCGGCCCGAGUUGUAAUUUGCAGAGGAUGCUUCUGGCGACGUGCCUUCCGAGUCCCCUGGAACGGGGCGCCGGAGAGGGUGAGAGCCCCGUACGGUGGGACACCUAGCCUAUGUGAAGCUCCUUCGACGAGUCGAGUAGUUUGGGAAUGCUGCUCUAAGCGGGAGGUAAAUUCCUUCUAAAGCUAAAUACCGGCCAGAGACCGAUAGCGCACAAGUAGAGUGAUCGAAAGAUGAAAAGCACUUUGGAAAGAGGGUUAAACAGUACGUGAAAUUGCUGAAAGGGAAGCGCUUGCGACCAGACUCGGGCCUGGCGGAUCAUCCGGCGUUCUCGCCGGUGCACUUCGUCAGGCCUGGGCCAGCAUCGGUUCUGCUGGGGGGACAAAAGCCGGGGAAACGUAGCUCCUUCCGGGGAGUGUUAUAGUCCCCGGCCCAAUACCUCCGGCGGGACCGAGGACCGCGCUAACGCAAGGAUGCUGGCGUAAUGGUCGUCAGCG
rnacentral:rRNA from 2 species